CAUUGUGUGAAUAUACAUAUCUAAUUUUAAAAAAAAUUAGGACCAUUUAAAACAUUAAACGAGACAGGUGCAGAGAAAAUCCUGUGAAUUUGGUACUGCUUUGCUAUAGGUCUACCUAAAAACAAAAUAUUUCUCCUCAUUUGCAGAAAUGGAGAAAAAAAAAAUCCACCAAGGCUUCAGACUGGAUUGUUUUGUAUUUUCAAGAGAAAUUGAACUACAUUUUGCAAUCAGGAACUAGAAUCUCUGGCUUAUUUUAGAAACAACAUUUGUGCCAUAAGUUUCCUUAUGCAGAUAAGUGUUUUUAUCUAUGAGCCGAAAAUUUUAGUUCUUAAUUGCAAGAUGUAGUCGAAUUGAUGGUCAUAAUAGAAAAGUAGGAUAACAUCCAUGGUAACCAUAUCAAAUGAAUAAGUUCUUUUAAAAUUCAGAAUGUUUUCGAAAUACCAAAUUCAUAGUAUAUUUUGAGUUGUUUGCAAACCUAGCUGUUUAAUGCAGAAAACUAAAAAUUACUUGAGCAGAUUCCAACCAUUUAAUGAGCUGCAUUCAAUUAAGUGUUGAAGGGGACUGAGGAAGGCAAUGUUAGUAAAAGGAGGUGCGUGAAUUAACCUAAAAAAGCGAGACAUCAUAAAUCAUAUGAUCCAAAAAAGUGCUAUGAGAGACAGAGUUCAAAUUUGACAAAUAAAUAAAAAUUGAUUCCAAAAGAGGAACAGGAAAAUGAUUUAAAUAAAAUGAGCAAACAAACGCUUGAAGAAGAAAUUCGGAAAGAAUGAGCAAGCCGAAAAGUAGAUGUAUUUUCAACAUAAGAAGUCAUGUGAAAUCUACUCGGGAGUGUGGAUGUCCAAGUGAGACUUCGGCCGAGCCUCAACAAGAAAACACCAAGACACAAGAAAAAAGUAACGUUCAAUGUGAUGAAACAAAAUUUUAUGAUGGGUAUCCCCACCCAAUUCUUAAAAAAGUUAAUACGGCAGAGUGAAAAGCUCAACUGUUUAAAACUGAUGAGAGAGGAAGAUCUUUCAUCUAGAAAAAGGAAGAAAAGGAAGGGUUCAACAGGGAUUUAAUUAAAGAACAGCUUAUGUGUACCAGGACCUCAAUACAUUGUCCAUUCAACUACAUCAAAAACUUAAAUGUUUACAUGACAGACCAUUUGUGAGCAAGAUCGGGCAGAGCUGCCUCACAUACAUCAAAGGUGGCGCCAAAAGAUCUUCCAUUCAAGAGUAGAGUGGACAUUUUGAAAAUAUAGAGAUUUAGUCAUUCCAAGGAUGCAUAAUUGCAUGAUCAUCAGAGAUUUAUUAUUAACUGAAUAAAAUGGGAAUAGCCCAUUAUAACUGCUGAAAAAGGAGGGAGUCAAAACCUCUGAAAUGGCAGAUAGACAAAGGAAGAAGUGAGGAAAGUUGGAGUUCUUCAAAUUUAGCAAUUCCCAUUUUGUUUAAUUUGAUGCUUUCCUUGUUUUUAGUCUUGUUUGACAAAUUUUUUUAUUAUGAAUUCUCUUCAAAGAUAAAGAGUCUUUAUUGAAGCCAUUUCUUAUCCUUGAUUCUGCAAGAAAUUGGCAAGAUGAAAAUAUCCCCAAAGACAGUCAUAAGAGACAAAAAGUGGUUAGUUCGUCAAAUUCUUUAACUGUGAUAAAACUAGCGGCUUAUUUGUAGGAUUAAAUGGUCAGACAUCAGAGUCAAAUAGCAAGAGAGAAGAAAUAUUUAAAGAAACCCAAGCUUACUGAUGAUGUGAGAAAACAUAGAUGCUCAUGUAAAUUCUCACAGUAAUAAUUAUUCACACCAAAGGUGGUAUGACAAAAAUUGACUUGAAGUUUCAUCGUUCUAUAUUUGAGGAUGCUUUUUUCACAAAGCUGUAGAGCAUUAAUGUAGCAAUUAUCUACAAAAUGAGAUAGAUCAUAGCCAGUGUCAAUGAAUUUAUAUGAGGGGUAGACUUUUAUAAGAGCUAAAGGGAACAACUGGAAAAUUUUUCAGAAUUGAUUGUAAGUGAUAUUGAACUGAACUACGUUUGAGCACAUAAAACAAUUUCCACCUUGAAUGAAAAAACAGCUGUGUUAUUAAUUAGAAAAUAGAACGAGAUAGAUUUGCAUAGAAAUGGCUCUCAAUUUUAAAAUCAUCCAUACAUAGAAUGACGAGUUUGUACAUUGGAGACGUUAGAUUUUGUGCUUCAAAAAAAUAACCGUGAAAGACCACCUAAACUCCCCUUUUCCCAUCAAAUUCUCAAUGCCAACAAAUUGGACCACUUACUACCACUUAUUUUACUUUUAACCACUCAUGAGGACCACUGCUUAUGACCUCUCUCAUCAUAUCAGAAAUGGUUUCGCUCUAAUUCAUUCCAGCAAUAAGAUGAUGAAUAAUAUACUUACAUAAUCAUUCAGCAUGGCAUAGGGUUUGAGUCUUGGAUGAACUUUCUGUGAAUCUGAGUACUGCUCCCCAUACACCCAUCCAUUUUCCAGCUUGCGAUUUGCCCAGGCAUCAUGAUAAUGCUCCGAGAACUUUUGCACUAUUGUGUUUAGGUCAUUGUUAAGCUGGACACUGGAUGUGUUGAUGGGCUGUGGGUUGUAAGGUCCAUCAGCAGGCCCUGUUUGAACUUGUGUUUUUGAUCCAUACCACUCAUCAUCAUAGUUCUUCGACAAGGAGUAGUCGGGUGGUAAUGCACAUCCUAUAGCAAUCAGGCAUGGCAAUGCUUUCCCGAACAACUCGGGAUCAUAAUCCUGAAAGAGAUUAAAAGUUCACAUAUUUACGUCCUUCUUGGCAGCUUUUAAAGAUCAAGUAUUUUGACGCGCGUACAGAAAAUCAUUAUGGAGCUUUUAACUUUGUGAUUUCGAAAUUAACUAACAAUUUACAUUGUGUUUUCCACUGUUUUGUACUCACAUUUAUUUAACUGAAUAUUUGUUUGGUUUCCUAAGAGGUAACUUUGAUCCCUAAGAAAUGAUUAUCUACU
rnacentral:lncRNA from 1 species